AUGUCACUCAAUACGGAUUUGAAGUUCUUCCUCGGAUUUCAAAUUCAACAAUUUCAAGAAGGGAUUUUCUUGUCUCAAGCAAAAUACCUCAAGGAUAUCCUAGCGAAAUUUGGCAUGACUAAUGCUAGCCCAUGUAAGACACCCAUGCCAACCAAAAUUGUACUCACUGAAGACUCAAACGGUACCCCCUUCGACCCAUCUAGAUACCGCUCUAUGAUUGGUUCGUUGCUUUAUCUUUGUGCAUCUAGACCAGACAUCAUGUUUAGUGUAUGCAUGUGUGCUAGAUUUCAAGCUUUCCCUAUGGAAAGCCAUCAUAAGGCGGUUAAGCAUAUUCUUAGAUACCUUGUUCACACCCCAAAGUUAGGACUAUGGUACCCCAAGGAUGUUAAGUUUGAUCUCAUUGGAUACACGGAUGCGGAUUGGGCUGGUGACAAGGUGGAUCGUAAGUCCACCUCCGGUGCAUGCCAAUUUCUUGGAUGCUCCUUGGUAAGUUGGUCCUCGAAGAAACAAAAUUGUGUUGCCCUCUCCACCGCAGAAGCUGAAUACAUUGCGACCGCCAGUUGUGCAACUCAAUUACUAUGGAUGAGGCAAACUUUGAAGGAUUACGGUAUCACCUAUAGACAUGUGCCUCUUCUAUGUGAUAAUGAAAGUGCCAUCAAUAUUGCUGAGAACCCCAAAGAUCAUUCCCGCACCAAGCAUAUUGAUAUCAGGUAUCACUUCUUGAGAGAUCAUGUGGAGAAGGGUGAUAUUGACAUUGCUCAUGUUGGCACAGAUAAGCAACCUGCAGAUAUUUUCACCAAGCCAUUGGAUGAAGCAAGGUUUUGUCAACUUAGGCGUGAACUUGGUAUCUUGGAGCUUGACAAUAUUAUGUGA
rnacentral:rRNA from 1 species